CCUACGGGUGGCAGCAGUGGGGAAUAUUGCGCAAUGGGCGAAAGCCUGACGCAGCGACGCCGCGUGAGGGAUGAAGGUCUUCGGAUCGUAAACCUCUGUCAGCAGGGAAGAACGGUCACUGUGCUAAUCAGCAGUGAAUUGACGGUACCUGCAAAGGAAGCACCGGCUAACUCCGUGCCAGCAGCCGCGGUAAUACGUAGGGGGCAAGCGUUAUUCGGAUUUACUGGGCGUAAAGGGAGCGUAGACGGCAGUUCAAGUCUGGAGUGAAAGGCGGGGGCUCAACCCCCGGACUGCCCUGGAAACUGGCCGGCUGGAGUGCAGGAGAGGUAAGUGGAAUUCCUGGUGUAGCGGUGAAAUGCGUAGAUAUUAGGAGGAACACCAGUGGCGAAGGCGGCUUACUGGACUAUAACUGACGUUGAGGAGCGAAAGCGUGGGUAGCAAACAGGAUUAGAUACCCCAGUAGUC
rnacentral:rRNA from 1 species